AUUGAACGCUGGCGGCGUGCUUAACACAUGCAAGUCGAGCGGUAACGCGGGGGCAACCCUGGCGACGAGCGGCGAACGGGUGCGUAAUACAUGGGAAUCUGCCCUGUAGUGGGGAAUAACCCGGCGAAAGCCGGGCUAAUGCCGCAUACGAUCUACGGAUGAAAGCGGGGGACCUUCGGGCCUCGCGCUAUUGGAUGAGCCCAUGUCGGAUUAGCUAGUUGGUGAGGUAACGGCUCACCAAGGCGACGAUCCGUAGCUGGUCUGAGAGGACGGCCAGCCACACUGGGACUGAGACACGGCCCAGACUCCUACGGGAGGCAGCAGUGGGGAAUAUUGGACAAUGGGGGAAACCCUGAUCCAGCGACGCCGCGUGUGUGAAGAAGGCCUGCGGGUUGUAAAGGCACUUUCGGUGGGAACGAAAUAGUGCCGGGCUAAUACCCCGGCAAGCUGACGUUACUCAAUGAAGAAGCACCGGCUAACUCUGUGCCAG
rnacentral:rRNA from 1 species